rnacentral:lncRNA from 1 species
GUCAGGUUUCCAUAGGAAACCAUGCUGUUGGAAGCUGAUUCUUCCAGAGGUCUAACACUAGCCUCUGUAAGUCAGGAAGGCAGCUUAGCAGGCCCACUGGGAAGUAGCAGAUGGAUAGGAAAAUGACAUGCUUUCCAAAAGUAUUUAAAUAUCAACUCUCUUUUGUUACAGCUGUGUAAGAGCCAUAUAAAAUCAAGUAACAUGUAGGAGAGAAAAGGGGUCAUGAAGGAGGAGUUUGAGCAAAAAGUAAUGCUAAAAAAGAAAAAAAAAUCCAUUGCAAAUGGACACAAUUGCAACAGAAUUUUCCUUGAAUCAACGGAGGACUAUUACUUGAUGAGAUCAUUGUUUUCAGACAAUGAUUUAUGGGCAGCUGGAAUUUGCAUGCAUUGCUCCGAAUCUGUGGAAGAAUCUAUGUGGUUGUUCAUGGCCUUCAGAAACAUGGAUGCUGCAAAGCAGAGCUAUGGAGAAUAUGGAAAGCAGGCUCAAAAAGCAUCUGCAAACCUGUGCCAAUAUUACUGCCUCUGUCAUCAAGCAAUGGAAAGGUUUUUCUAGUUAAAUUCAAGUAAUUAAAUCUCCCUGCUCUCAUUAAAAAAAAUACAACUGUCUGCUGCUGGUCUGAAGAAUUGCACAGAGUGAACGUAAAUUUUAAUUUCAUGGUGCAAGUGUUAAAUUAUUGCCAUCUAAGCUGUCUGCCAGUGUUACAUGAAAUCCCACCACAUUUUAAUAAUUCUCCCUUUGUUUUGGAUGGAAAUACCACGUGUUGUGAUUUGGAAGUUUUUAUGUGCAAUUAGAGCCCUGAGAACUACAACAUAAUCACAUUCAAUUCACCUAAUUGGACAGCGAGGAAACUGUCAUUUCUGAAAUGGUUUGUGUCUUUUGGAAUGUCUGUGUGUAUACACAUGUGUAUAAAAUGAAACAUUUUCUCACCCAUCCUGUGUUAAAAUGUAAUAGAAACUCCUGCUAACUGAAGUUGAAGACAUAGCUGGGUGUUCUUUAGUAACCUCAAAACAUAUACGUGUGCGUGUAAAUAAAAAACUGUCCUUCUAAACACAAGGAUCCUUCCCUCGUACUUACUUUGCAACAUCUUAGUAAGGAUUUGCCAUCAAUUCCCUCUCUUUACAGUGCAUUUGAUGACAUUUUACAGAUCAUCAUACUAAAUAAGUAAGAACCAUCCUCUCUGAUUUAGAAGAAAAACCUUUAUUUAUUUCAAUUUAUUUUGGGAGUUCAGAAGUAAUGACAAACUUGACAAUCUUCAUGACAAACAUGAUAAUCUUCACAUCACUUUAAGCUGUGUGACCAAAAAGCCAUUAGCUUCACAGAAACAGACAAUACAUUUCAUCCUGAAACAACACUUAUGAUCAACAUUUAUGCAAUCUAUAGGUACUUCCUAUAUUUGUAUCAAUGCAAGUAAGAAGACAUGGAGUAUCAAACCAGCAAGGGCUUAGAAAUAUCAAGCCCAAGAGUUUACCCAUUUACUUCAGUGGAAAAUAGUGCUAGUAAAUAUCAAUACAUAUUUUAAUCUUUUAUUUCAGUAAUUUCCAUGUAAAAGCAAACAUAUUCUGCCAACUUUAUUCAUUGUCUUUGAUCUUUUUUUGAAGCAUAUUAUGAUAGAUUUCUGAAUCUUUUAAUUCAAUGUUGAAGUAGAUAUUAAGUAUAUCACAACACCAAUCCACACUAAAUAGAACUUUUGUUUUUUGUUCUUUUGCUGAAAUGUCUGACAGUAUUUCAAGAAUAAUUUAAUUAUGAACUUUAUAUUAACAAAAGACAAGUGAUUUUUUAUUCCAUUCAGUGUGGAAUAAGAUACUACCUAUAUUUGUUAAGCCCUGUGUAUCAACCAGAAUUUGCAAAGGGAAGUUAUCAACUUCAGAUACUCAUUCUCCAUUUCCCAUAAAUAUGUUAAAAAUACAAAGUCAGCUCCUAAGUUUUUCAUCAAAUAAACUAGCUUAUUAAGAUUAAGUGGCCUGAAACCACCAUCUGUGAGUUCACAUUUAUAUCUAGAAAACCUGUAUAAUCAUGUGUAUUGAGAGUAAGGCUUAGUGUUGGAAGGCCCAACCUUGUAAACAAGCUUUGUUUACACAAGAAGACAAUAGGACUCUUCUUUUGUUUCAGAGUUUACAUGUUCAGAGGCUGAGAUCACUAUUUUUGAAAUGUGAUGAUGGGAAUACAAAGUAAUUACCUUUAUGAAGGUUUUACAAAGAAUCCUGUAAGUAAAGCCCAUGACAGAAAUAUAUAGUGUCUCCAAAGAAACAAUUAUGAUGUAUUGUGUUUGAAUAAUAACUCAGAAUGUUUUAUCAUCAUCUGUUUACAUAAUAAGUCAUAAUAACUUUUCAAAAUAUGGUGCUUGCAUUUUUAUUAUUGUUUUAAGUGUACAUAGGGGAAUUACUACAGCCUAGAAUCAUAAACUUUGUAAAACUUUGUUGAAGACUGCAUUUUUAUUCCCAUCCUCUUCUGCUCAAACAAAAAUGUAAAGGAAACAACACACAAAUAAAAGUACGCUAAAAUAAUCCCGUGUGUCUGGCUAAAAGAAAAGACAGGAAAUUCUUAAAAGUGUGGUUAUAAACUGAAAAAUGCCUUUAAACAUGGCUUCCUACUGUCUCACAUUUAUAUAUUCAUAAUUAUUUCACUAUCAAUAUUUUCUUUGCUUAUAUGUACACAAAUUACAUUAUUCAACAUGCCAAGACCACAUUCUCAGUCUGAUAUCUGGAAUACAAAGCCCUGUUGUCACUGGCUUCUACUACAGUGUUAAAGAUGGAACUGAGAGAAAUUCCUAGAUUCCCUCUCCUGGAAACUUUAUGAUUUAAGCCUACUUCUGACCUUUAGCAAUAUUUCCUUGAGGAGACUGAGGUCCAAAUUAAACUUUCAGGAAUUACAAGAGAAAUUUCAAUGAACUCUAGAGAUGCCAGAAAGACAAAUGACAAAAGUAGUUAAAGCAAAAGUGCUGAGCACGUCUUAAGUGCUUCAAUUAGAACUCUUGUUCCCCACAGGAUGUUCCAGAAAGGUGUAGAGGUGCUCACAGACCCUCACAAUGGUUUCAGACAUCUAGCCCACAAAGUAGAAUCCAAAGCCAAGAUUAGAGAGCUGUUACCUACAGAGAACAGAUGAUGUUAUGUGAGAGGACUAACAAAGUAGAAACAUUAUGGAGUUAUCUAGAAUCUAACUCAUAAUUUUGAAAGUCAGAUAAUGCCAACCUAUGUAGUUGAGGCACUCUGUCACAGUGGAAGACUGUGGUUAUUUCCAUCCACUCAGUGUCCACAGACCAUCAAGGUAAUUCAAUUUUUGUUUCAAAGGCUCCGUUUUUUUAAAAAAACAUAACCACUGUUGAAGAUGAGAUGUUAAUAAUGGAACAUAGGAUUAUUCUUAGUUCUACUAUUUACUGAAAAAUAGACAUACAAACUGUGUGGGGCAAAGACAAAGGCCAGAAUCCUGCUUGCUCCAUAAAAAUUGUUUCCUUCCUCAUUUAUCUCCUUGAAUCUUAAUGAGUUUUGCAGUUGUAGUGCACAUCUGUACAGCUAUGUAGACUAGCCUGGGACCCAGUGGGUAAGGUGUGCCUCCUCAGAAAUUAGAGUUUAAAAUACCUGAGGUCAAAGCAGAUGUAAAAAGUUGUCUCCUUCUGAAAGGUUUCCAGUUUUAUUGGCAUAUACUACGUUUGUCUGAGUGCACUUUCCAGGUCUGUGCUAUAAGCUAACACUACCAUUUAUCUUCUGGAUUCCCAGACUGUUUAAGUCAGACAGAGGUACAUGCCCGCUUCACCCUGAGCCCUUCUGCGAAUGGUCAGAAACAGAAUACUGUGUGAUCUCAAAAAGAUUCAGAGCAAACAUGGAAGACAGUUAUGUUUAAAUGACACUCUGGUUGGGCAGACACUGAACGCAGGGUUUUCAAGUCACAGUUUCAACAUAGACACCUUAAACCUUCCAGUAUUCUAUUUUAGGUUUGUUCUUCAUUCUUGCAUCACAGCAGGAGUUGUACCCUUUAUCAGUGUUGAUGUCUUCUUAAAAGAGGGUCUGUGACCGCAUUUGAAGUAUCUCUACUACCAGUUGUGGUGAUUUCACCCUGAUGUGCAGCUAAACUACUACAUCAUUCUCCUGUUACUCCUACUCAAAGGAAGAGGGGGAGAAAAUGAAAUGAAAAAAGGCUCAGGGUUUGAGAUUACCGUCACUGAUCAGUGAUUAUGAGAAUAAAUAAACAUAGUGUGGAAAAAUCUUUGUAUAGUCAUUAAAAUACCCAAGUGUGGCAUUCUAGUAGAGAUUUAAUAAGGAGAAGAAACUGACCCUCAGACUUAGGAAUUCAUUUUCUUUACUUUUCUACAAGGACAGACAUACAUCUCUCUAUCUAAUUUAUAUAUACAUACGUAUAUAUAAAGCAAAGCUUUUAAAGAAUUUUUAUUUAUCAUUGUAAAAUCUCUACUUAGAAUUGGAAAGAGAUAGAAAAAAAAAAAGUAGACUUUGAUUAUCACCUUGAUACAUCUAAGUGUUUACAGUGGGAGCUAAGCUGUAGCAUAGCAAUGUAAUAAAAAUAGAAAGUAAAGUGACGUAAAAAGUGCACUGAGGACUACCUUAUAACUAAUUCCAAACGUUCAAGAAUAGUAAAUGGUUAACAGUGAUGCAAAAGGAAAUUACAGAAAAAACAAUCAAAAAGGACUCCUAAACAAUGAAAGGAAACAAAAAAUUAAUAAAGCAGAAGACUGAAAAACAGAUAAGGAGAGCAAAACGGUGAAAGAUUUCACAGAAGAUUAUGAAAUUAGCACAAAAAAUUUUUAAACAAUCCUAAGAAUAAACUGUCAUUGAAGAACAGAAUAGGGAUUGUGGAGGAUCAUUUUUUAAGGGAUGAGGUAAAAAAAGAUGGAAAAUUUAAACAAAUUCUUCGCAUAGCUGUUCAGAAAGAAAUGUCAGCUCGCAGAGCUGUAGAAAUAUAGGUACAUAUUUUCUGGAGCAAAAGGAAGGAUAAAACACCUAAGUAAACACACACUGUAUGUGACAUAGUACAGAUGACAAUCUUAGCAUGUAUCACAUAAAAUAAUUUCUCAGUGCUAAAGCAUAUGCACUUCAGAAUUCACAGAAAGGGACAAAAAACAGCAUCACUCUUCACAAGACUAAUUUACAUCACUUCACCAUUCAGAUAACUUUUCCUUUUCAAAAUGUUGCUUUGAAGUCACAUGGGCUACUUACAUGACUGACAACUCUAGGACUGCAGUGAAAAAGAAGUUUCAGUGGAAUUAAAGAAAAAGUAAUGGGAAGUGUGCAGGAGGUAUCUGUGCAAAGAAGGGCCCCAUGCAACUCCUCUCACAGCUUGUCUCUAAAAACUCAAGAACUGGGUUUAAAUGAGAGAAACACCUUGUCUUUCUGGCAAGUUUUAGCAAUGCCUUCUAUGCAGGAAAGCAAUUUGCUUCAAGACCAAACAGAAAUGCACACUGGUUAAGAGUGAUAUAUUACAAAAACAACAGAGCAUAGCUAAAUUCAGCAAAUUAUGAAGCAAUGGCUAUUUCAGUGAGAGUCAGAGAUUCGUCUAAUGAGAUCCAGGAGUUUCAGCUCUGAACAAAAAGUGAUGAAUUCAAGCUUAAAUUCCUACAAGUAACCCCUAUUCUACAUUAAAGGUAACCAUCCAUCACAUUUUUAACUACAUCUACAAGGGAGUUCAGUAACUUCAGUCUAAAAAAUUCAAAACACAGACAUAUUUUCAGCCAAAACAAAGCCAGAGCCAGCAGUAAUUUUAAUUCUUUUCACUAAGUAUUGUUCUGGCCAUAAGACUAUGUGUAAAAUGGAUGUGGUUGAAGCCACAAUGGACUGUAAGGUUUAUAGGAUGAACAAGUUGCUAAGGAAGAGCUUGCAUGCCUAAAAACUUACAUUAUUCCAGCUGGAGUGCAUCCUGUAACAACAGUACUUCUUUAUUCUUCCAUAUCUUCCCUAAAAAGCUGAGCGCUCUGGCUGAAGACAGGCCAGGAGAGGCGCAUGGAUGUUUGCCUUCUUCAUGUUGCCUGAAAACCUAGUCCUUGUCUCAUCUGGGAACAGGACAGUCAUGCCAAGUGGAUGCAUCUCCCUGCAUCUGUGGAGAGACAGCAAAUGUGCUGUCUGGAAAGUAUCUGUGUUCUAGGAGGUGAGAAACUGGCUUGGGCUGUUUGAUUUCACUUCUACUCAGAGAAAUGGGGCAAUGAACUUUCUAAUAAACAGGUUUGGUUCACAGAGGGAUGACUCCACCAUCGAUCAUUCCACCAGAGGAAUAACUCAAGAUUCGAAAAUUUUAACCAGAUAAUUUUAUCAAAAGAAUAAUAAAAAAAAAAAAAAAAAAAAAAAGGACCAAGUAAUGACUUAAAACAAUUGCUGUGAUAUUACAUGUACAUAGGAUCUACUGGCCUAUAUGUCAGUUUUAAUCUGCCACUGGUUAAAUCCUACAUACUGAGCAAAAUAACUUACCAACACAAUACAUGCAAAGUAAAUAAAUACUCAAGCAACACUCUAUGUCCCACAUCCACUCAGAUACCAGAAGUGUGUAUUUCCAGUCUGUGAAAUACAAUGAUAAGUAAAAACAGUGAUUCUCCAUGAGUGCAUUACUCAGAAGAAGCAAUGUUAAGGCAGUCAGUGUGAUCUUUAAAAAUCACUCCCAGUAAAUAAAUAAAUAAACACCUCUACCUGCACAGCUAUCUGAAGACAAGUUAACAAAUUCUGUUUUCCACUUAUUAGCAAAUCAGUUGUUCUGUAAAGAAUACAUGGUCAAAACCUACAGCAACAGCUGGCACAUGUAUAAAGCGGGGCAAAAAGAUUAAGAUGAAGUAUUUCUGACAAAAAAAUAUAUGAAACAAAACAAAGUUGAAAACUGAAGCAGAUAUCAGAUAACCAUUUUGGCAUUUAUAAAAUACUUUUUCAGGACAAAAGGGGUUGCCAUACCUUUUCACUCAGCAUAUCCUCAGAGUCACAUAUUAAGCUGAUCAAAUCCGAGGGUACUGCAGUAAGCUGAAGCUUGAAGCUGCCUCCACUUCCUUCAUUUCGUUUACAGUUUUGUUUGGGGGUUGUUCUUUUUUUUCUUUUUAGCUUGCAGAAACCUGAGGGAAAAAAAUAUUUUGGGGGUUACUAUCGAAAUAGUUUAUUCAGUAGUCAAUUAACUGAAAAAAACAAAUAGUUCUAAACUGAUCUCUUAUAUACCAUGCCCCUUUUUAUAUCAUAGUUAUUGGUUCCAUUCUGUUGUUAUAUUUUACUGAAAACAUUAUGAAUAUAAAUGAGAAUAGUGCACAAAGAGCAGAGGUGAAGAUAUGUCCCAUUAGAAAUCUGCUUUUUUACUUACAUUUACUGAGGUUAUCAAGUACCUCUUUAUGAACUCUUCAUCCCUUUCUAAAAGGUAAAGUUGAAAUUGGGAAAUAUAUUGCAUCAGUUAUUGGGCAUUCUGGGGUUUUCCAUUAUUUUAAAAACCUCCUAUGUGCCUAAUUAUAGCUAAUAAGUACUGUUUAGAAACAUAGCAGAGAACUCAUGAUUUCCUUCUUCACCCAAUGCCCAGAAAAUCCAUGUCCGAGAACAAAAUCUUGAAGGUAUUUGUGAUCAUGACCCAUUCUCAUUAUCUGUAUCCAUUCUAAGAUUUUUAUAUUAUAUGAAUGAAUAUUUUAAAGUGAAAUUAUAGUAUUCAAUGGCAAAUUACAACUACAUGUGACCAAGAGAGGAUUAAACCCAUCAUUUUGCUUAAGAGCUCUGAUGGCUGGAGUAAUUGGAUGAUAGCUGUAGGGCAUCUUUUUGGUCUGUAAUUAGGUCAUUUCUUUCUCAUCCCUUCACUGUGUGUAUAAUUACGAAUUAAUUUGAAAUCCCACUGUGAGUAAAGAAAGUCAGUUUAAUAUAACGGAAGUGCAAAAGCCACAAUAUAUUACUUUUUAAAAACUGCUUAUUUCAAAAUACUCAGUCUGGCCAAAAGUUAUAUCCCUAUGUACUGCAAGGCUUAUAUUUGGUUUCUUUGCUAACUUUGUACAAGUGCUGCUCUGAAAGUAAUGCCUCCUGUUUUAUUAUGUUGGUGUACAAUGUCAGAGGUGGAUUUUGGUGGUACAUCAGUAGAGGUUGAACCUUCACACCAGUAUUCCACUACAUUUUGUUGCUGUGUGACAGAUGGCAGCAGAGGGUCAGUCUGACAAAAUGGCUUCUGACACGGAAGCAUCUGAGAAGAAAAGAUGUGGAACUGAAUUCCUCCAUGUGGUAAAAAAAUUGCAUCCAUUGACUUUCACUGAUGCUUGCUGAACAUUUAUGGAGAUCAAACAGUGAAUGUGAGCUCAGUGAGGUUGUGGGUAAUGUGUUUCAACAGCAGUGAUAGUGGCAGUGGUUCACCUCCACCGGUGCAAAUUUUUACAAGAACAGCAAGCAGGUUCUCGUUCAUCGUUGGCAAAAAUGCAUAGCUAAUGACAGUGAAUAUGCAGCAAAAUAAAGUUUGUAUUUGAGAAUUUUCUCUAUGAAAUAGUGUUAUUGUGCUCUUUGUAUUUGUUGCAGUUUCUAUGGAAAUAAACAGCAAGUAUUACUUUUGAAUCAAUCUACGUUCCUGGAUGUAUUUUCUCUCUUAAAAUAAAUGAAUUUUCAAAGCACC